AUCGAUCAUGGAGCGUACUCUGCAUGCAGCGAUGCCGCGUGAGUGCAAGAAGGCCUUUGGGUUGUUAAGCUCUUUUGUAGGGGAAGAUAAUGACUGCUGCCUCCCAAUGAGAUCCGGCUAACUUCGUGCCAGCAGCCGCGGUAAUAUA
rnacentral:rRNA from 1 species